rnacentral:rRNA from 1 species
GUAGGAGGCAAGCGUUAUCCGGAUUCACUGGGCGUAAAGCGCGUGCAGGCGGUUCGGUAAGUUGGGCGUGAAAUCUCCUGGCUUAACUAGGAGAGGUCGUUCAAUACUACCGGACUUGAGAGUGAUAGAGGAAGAUGGAAUUCCCGGUGUAGUGGUGAAAUGCGUAGAUAUCGGGAGGAACACCAGUGGCGAAAGCGAUCUUCUGGAUCAUUUCUGACGCUCAGACGCGAAAGCUAGGGUAGUAAACGGGAUUAGAGACCCCGGUAAUCCUAGCCGUAAACGAUGUAAACUUGGCGUCGGUGGCUUAAACUCCAUCGGUGCCGCAGCUAACGCGAUAAGUUUACCGCCUGGGGACUACGAUCGCAAGAUU